rnacentral:rRNA from 1 species
UGCCAGCCGCCGCGGUAAUACGGAGGGGGUUAGCGUUGUUCGGAAUUACUGGGCGUAAAGCGCACGUAGGCGGAUCAGAAAGUUAGGGGUGAAAUCCCAGGGCUCAACCCUGGAACUGCCUCUAAAACUCCUGGUCUAGAGUUCGAGUGAGGUGAGUGGAAUUCCGAGUGUAGAGGUGAAAUUCGUAGAUAUUCGGAGGAACACCAGUGGCGAAGGCGACUUACUGGCUCGAUACUGACGCUGAGGUGCGAAAGCGUGGGGAGCAAACAGGAUUAGAUA